UAUACUCCCUCCGUUUCAUAAUAUAAGGCGUUUUGGACUAAAUGUUUUGUUUCACAAUAUAAGUCGUUUUCGAGUUUCGAUGCAUAUUAUAUAUUAUUUUAAUAUUUUAUGAUCAUUUAUAUUAUGCAGUCUCUUUUAUGAUAGGUUGAACUUUUUAAAAGUAGAUCUUCUUAAUCGGCGUGUUUUUACCUAAAACGACUUAUAUUUUGAAACGGAGGGAGUAU
rnacentral:lncRNA from 1 species